CCGCGUGUGUGAAGAACGCCUUAUGGUUGUAAGGCACUUUAUGCGAGGAGGAGGCUACUUUAGUUCCUACCUAGAGAUAGUGGACGUUACUCGCAGACUAAGCGCCGGCUAACUCUGUGCCAGCAGCCGCGGUAAUACAGAGGGUGCAAGCGUUAAUCGGAUUUACUGGGCGUAAAGCGCGCGUAGGCGGCUAAUUAAGUCAAAUGUGAAAUCCCCGAGCUUAACUUGGGAAUUGCAUUCGAUACUGGUUAGCUAGAGUGUGGGAGAGGAUGGUAGAAUUCCAGGUGUAGCGGUGAAAUGCGUAGAGAUCUGGAGGAAUACCGAUGGCGAAGGCAGCCAUCUGGCCUAACACUGACGCUGAGGUGCGAAAGCAUGGGGAGCAAACAGGAUUAGAUACCCUGGUAGUCCAUGCCGUAAACGAUGUCUACUAGCCGUUGGGGCCUUUGAGGCUUUAGUGGCGCAGCUAACGCGAUAAGUAGACCGCCUGGGGAGUACGGUCGCAAGACUAAAACUCAAAUGACUUGACGGGGGCCCGCACAAGCGGUGGAGCAUGUGGUUUAAUUCCGAUGCAACGCGAAGAACCUUA
rnacentral:rRNA from 1 species